AACGAACGCUGGCGGCAUGCCUAACACAUGCAAGUCGAACGAGACCUUCGGUCUAGUGGCGCACGGGUGCGUAACGCGUGGGAAUCUGCCCUUGGGUCCGGAAUAACUCAGAGAAAUUUGAGCUAAUACCGGAUGAUGACGUAAGUCCAAAGAUUUAUCGCCCAGGGAUGAGCCCGCGUAGGAUUAGCUAGUUGGUGAGGUAAAGGCUCACCAAGGCGACGAUCCUUAGCGGUCUGAGAGGAUGAUCAGCCACACUGGGACUGAGACACGGCCCAGACUCCUACGGGAGGCAGCAGUGGGGAAUAUUGGACAAUGGGCGAAAGCCUGAUCCAGCAAUGCCGCGUGAGUGAUGAAGGCCUUAGGGUUGUAAGCUCUUUUACCCGGGAUGAUAAUGACAGUACCGGAGAAUAAGCCCCGGCUAACUCCGUGCCAGCCG
rnacentral:rRNA from 1 species